AUUGAACGCUGGCGGCAUGCCUUACACAUGCAAGUCGAACGGCAGCACGGGAGCAAUCCUGGUGGCGAGUGGCGAACGGGUGAGUAAUAUAUCGGAACGUGCCCAGUCGUGGGGAUAACGUAGCGAAAGCUACGCUAAUACCGCAUACGAUCUAUGGAUGAAAGCGGGGGAUCGCAAGACCUCGCGCGAUUGGAGCGGCCGAUAUCAGAUUAGGUAGUUGGUGAGGUAAAGGCUCGCCAAGCCGACGAUCUGUAGCUGGUCUGAGAGGACGACCAGCCACACUGGGACUGAGACACGGCCCAGACUCCUACGGAGGCAGCAGUGGGGAAUUUUGGACAAUGGGCGCAAGCCUGAUCCAGCAAUGCCGCGUGCAGGAUGAAGGCCU
rnacentral:rRNA from 1 species